AGAGGUAAGGUGCAGGAAUGAUGGGUAUAGAGAGGUAAGGUGCAGGAAUGAUGGGUAUAGAGAGGUAAGGUGCGGGAAUGAUGGGUAUAGAGAGGUAAGGUGCAGGAAUGAUGGGUAUAGAGAGGUAAGGUGCAGGAAUGAUGGGUAUAGAGAGGUAAGGUGCAGGAAUGAUGGGUAUAGAGAGGUAAGGUGCAGGAAUGAUGGGUAUAGAGAGGUAAGGUGCAGGAAUGAUGGGUAUAGAGAGAGGUAAGGUGCAGGAAUGAUGGGUAUAGAGAGGUGAGGUACAGGAAUGAUGGGUAUAGAGAGGUAAGGUGCAGGAAUGAUGGGAAUAGAGAGGUAAGGUGCAGGAAUGAUGGGUAUAGAGAGGUAAGGUGCAGGAAUGAUGGGUAUAGAGAGGUAAGGUGCAGGAAUGAUGGGUAUAGAGAGGUGAGGUGCAGGAAUGAUGGGUAUAGAGAGGUAAGGUGCAGGAAUGAUGGGUAUAGAGAGGUAAGGUGCAGGAAUGAUGGGUAUAGAGAGGUAAGGUGCAGGAAUGAUGGGUAUAGAGAGGUAAGGUGCAGGAAUGAUGGGUAUAGAGAGGUAAGGUGCAGGAAUGAUGGGUAUAGAGAGGUAAGGUGCAGGAAUGAUGGGUAUAGAGAGGUAAGGUGCAGGAAUGAUGGGUAUAGAGAGGUAAGGUGCAGGAAUGAUGGGUAUAGAGAGGUAAGGUGCAGGAAUGAUGGGUAUAGAGAGGUAAGGUGCAGGAAUGAUGGGUAUAGAGAGGUAAGGUGCGGGAAUGAUGGGUAUAGAGAGGUAAGGUGCAGGAAUGAUGGGUAUAGAGAGGUAAGGUGCAGGAAUGAUGGGUAUAUAGAGAAGUAACAUACAGGAAUGAUGGGUAUAGAGAGGUAAGGUGCAGGAAUGAUGGGUAUAGAGAGGUAAGGUGCAGGAAUGAUGGGUAUAGAGAGGUAAGGUGCAGGAAUGAUGGGUAUAGAGAGGUAAGGUGCAGGAAUGAUGGGUAUAUAGAGAAGUAACAUACAGGAAUGAUGGGUAUAGAGAGGUAAGGUGCAGGAAUGAUGGGUAUAGAGAGGCAAGGUACAGGAAUGAUGGGUAUAGAGAGGUAAGGUACAGGAAUGAUGGGUAUAGAGAGGUAAGGUGCAGGAAUGAUGGGUAUAGAGAGGUAAGGUGCAGGAAUGAUGGGUAUAGAGAGGUAAGGUGCAGGAAUGAUGGGUAUAGAGAGGUAAGGUGCAGGAAUGAUGGGUAUAGAGAGGUAAGGUGCAGGAAUGAUGGGUAUAGAGAGGUAAGGUGCAGGAAUGAUGGGUAUAGAGAGGUAAGGUGCAGGAAUGAUGGGUAUAGAGAGGUAAGGUGCAGGAAUGAUGGGUAUAGAGAGGUAAGGUGCAGGAAUGAUGGGUAUAGAGAGGUAAGGUGCAGGAAUGAUGGGUAUAGAGAGGUAAGGUGCAGGAAUGAUGGGUAUAGAGAGGUAAGGUGCGGGAAUGAUGGGUAUAGAGAGGUAAGGUGCAGGAAUGAUGGGUAUAGAGAGGUAAGGUGCAGGAAUGAUGGGUAUAUAGAGAAGUAACAUACAGGAAUGAUGGGUAUAGAGAGGUAAGGUGCAGGAAUGAUGGGUAUAGAGAGGUAAGGUGCAGGAAUGAUGGGUAUAGAGAGGUAAGGUGCAGGAAUGAUGGGUAUAGAGAGGUGAGGUGCAGGAAUGAUGGGUAUAGAGAGGUAAGGUGCAGGAAUGAUGGGUAUAGAGAGGUAAGGUGCGGGAAUGAUGGGUAUAGAGAGGUAAGGUGCAGGAAUGAUGGGUAUAGAGAGGUAAGGUGCAGGAAUGAUGGGUAUAGAGAGGUAAGGUACAGGAAUGAUGGGUAUAGAGAGGUAAUAUACAGGAAUGAUGGGUAUAGAGAGGUAAGGUGCAGGAAUGAUGGGUAUAGAGAGGUAAGGUGCAGGAAUGAUGGGUAUAGAGAGGUGAGGUGCAGGAAUGAUGGGUAUAGAGAGGUAAGGUGCAGGAAUGAUGGGUAUAGAGAGGUAAGGUGCAGGAAUGAUGGGUAUAGAGAGGUAAGGUGCAGGAAUGAUGGGUAUAGAGAGGUAAGGUGCAGGAAUGAUGGUUAUAGAGAGGUAAGGUGCAGGAAUGAUGGGUAUAGAGAGGUGAGGUGCAGGAAUGAUGGGUAUAGAGAGGUAAGGUGCAGGAAUGAUGGGUAUAGAGAGGUAAGGUGCAGGAAUGAUGGGUAUAGAGAGGUAAGGUGCAGGAAUGAUGGGUAUAGAGAGGUAAGGUGCAGGAAUGAUGGGUAUAGAGAGGUAAGGUACAGGAAUGAUGGGUAUAGAGAGGUAAUAUACAGGAAUGAUGGGUAUAGAGAGGUAAGGUGCAGGAAUGAUGGGUAUAGAGAGGUAAGGUGCAGGAAUGAUGGGUAUAGAGAGGUAAGGUGCAGGAAUGAUGGGUAUAGAGAGGUGAGGUGCAGGAAUGAUGGGUAUAGAGAGGUAAGGUGCAGGAAUGAUGGGUAUAGAGAGGUAAGGUGCAGGAAUGAUGGUUAUAGAGAGGUAAGGUGCAGGAAUGAUGGGUAUAGAGAGGUGAGGUGCAGGAAUGAUGGGUAUAGAGAGGUAAGGUGCAGGAAUGAUGGGUAUAGAGAGGUAAGGUGCAGGAAUGAUGGGUAUAGAGAGGUAAGGUGCAGGAAUGAUGGGUAUAGAGAGGUAAGGUGCAGGAAUGAUGGGUAUAGAGAGGUAAGGUACAGGAAUGAUGGGUAUAGAGAGGUAAUAUACAGGAAUGAUGGGUAUAGAGAGGUAAGGUGCAGGAAUGAUGGGUAUAGAGAGGUAAGGUGCAGGAAUGAUGGGUAUAGAGAGGUAAGGUGCAGGAAUGAUGGGUAUAGAGAGGUGAGGUGCAGGAAUGAUGGGUAUAGAGAGGUAAGGUGCAGGAAUGAUGGGUAUAGAGAGGUAAGGUGCAGGAAUGAUGGGUAUAGAGAGGUAAUAUACAGGAAUGAUGGGUAUAGAGAGGUGAGGUGCAGGAAUGAUGGGUAUAGAGAGGUAAGGUGCAGGAAUGAUGGGUAUAGAGAGGUAAGGUGCAGGAAUGAUGGGUAUAUAGAGAAGUAUCUCUGUCCCCAGUAUCCCCCCUCCCCAGAAUCUCCUUGCUCCACAUCUCCUCUCUUCGGGAUCUUCUCUCCCCAGUAUCUCCUCUCUUCAAGAUCCCCCCUUUUCAUGAUCUCCUCUCCCCAGCAUAUCCUCUUUCCAGUGUCUUUUCUCCCCAGUAUCUCCUCUCCCUAGUAUCUACUUUCCCUAAUAUCUCCACUCUUCAAGAUC